CUUUUGUGAGACUAUGCUGGGGUCUAACUGAAAGACCCCCGAAGGGAGACCCUCACUCAAGCCUUGGGACAGCCGCGGACCCAAGAAGACACUGAGACCA
rnacentral:pre_miRNA from 7 species